UACGUAGGUGGCAAGCGUUGUCCGGAGUUAUUGGGCUUAAAGGGUGCGUAGGCGGCCCUGUAAGUCAGUGCUGAAAUAUCCCAGCUUAACUGGGAGGGUGGCAUUGAUACUGCGGGGCUAGAGUACAGAUGAGGUAGGCGGAAUUGACGGUGUAGCGGUGAAAUGCUUAGAUAUCGUGAAGAACACCUAUAGCGAAGGCAGCUUACUAGGCUAUAACUGACGCUGAGGCACGAAAGUGUGGGGAGCGAACAGG
rnacentral:rRNA from 1 species